rnacentral:rRNA from 1 species
AGACGAGGGAUCCUAGCGUUGUUCGGAAUUAUUGGGCGUAAAGCGGAUGUAGGUGGCUAUGUAAGUCAGAUGUGAAAGCCUGGGGCUCAACCCCAGAAGUGCAUUUGAUACUGCGUAGCUUGAGUGUCGGAGAGGUUACUAGAAUUGUUGGUGUAGUGGUGAAAUACGUAGAUAUCAACAGGAAUACCGGAGGCGAAGGCGGGUAACUGGCCGAACACUGACACUGAGAUCCGAAAGCGUGGGGAUC